GCCAAGCCGUAAAAUUAACUCACAUAACAAACGCCAGGGGAUUACGAGCUUUAGCUUAAAACCCAAAGGACUUGACGGUGACCCACCCAUCUAGAGGAGCCUGUUCUAUAAUCGAUAAUCCACGUUAUACCUUACCAUUUCUAGCUUUUUCAGCCUGUAUACCUCCGUCGUAAACUCACCGCUUGAACGCAUAAAAGUGUGUCCAAUGGCCACCCCACCAGCACGUCAGGUCAAGGUGCAGCUCAUGAAAUGGAAAGCAAUGGGCUACAAUUUCUAAUAUAGAAUAAACGAAAUACUGCAUGAAACACAGUCAUGAAGGAGGAUUUAGUAGUAAAGAGGGAGUAGAGAGCCCCCUUUAAUCUGGCCCUGGGACAUGUACAAACCGCCCGUCACCCUCUUCGAUAGCCUACUCACUUGCUACAUAACCUGAUUUCGCGCCUUAGAAGAGGCAAGUCGUAACAUGGUAAGUGUACUGGAAAGUGCACUUGGAACAA
rnacentral:rRNA from 1 species